UACAGAGGUCCCAAGCGUUGUUCGGAUUCACUGGGCGUAAAGGGUGCGUAGGCGGUCGGGUAAGUCUGACGUGAAAUCUCCAAGCCUAACUUGGAAACUGCGUUGGAUACUAUCCGGCUCGAGGAAUGGAGGGGAGACUGGAAUACUUGGUGUAGCAGUGAAAUGCGUAGAUAUCAAGUGGAACACCAGUGGCGAAGGCGAGUCUCUGGACAUUUCCUGACGCUGAGGCACGAAAGCCAGGGGAGCAAACGGG
rnacentral:rRNA from 1 species